AUUGAACGCUGGCGGCAGGCCUAACACAUGCAAGUCGAGCGGAUGAAGGGAGCUUGCUCCUGGAUUCAGCGGCGGACGGGUGAGUAAUGCCUAGGAAUCUGCCUGGUAGUGGGGGAUAACGUCCGGAAACGGGCGCUAAUACCGCAUACGUCCUGAGGGAGAAAGUGGGGGAUCUUCGGACCUCUCGCUAUCAGAUGAGCCUAGGUCGGAUUAGCUAGUUGGUGGGGUAAAGGCCUACCAAGGCGACGAUCCGUAACUGGUCUGAGGAUGAUCAGUCACACUGGAACUGAGACACGGUCCAGACUCCUACGGGAGGCAGCAGUGGGGAAUAUUGGACAAUGGGCGAAAGCCUGAUCCAGCCAUGCCGCGUGUGUGAAGAAGGUCUUCGGAUUGUAAAGCACUUUAAGUUGGGAGGAAGGGCAGUAAGUUAAUACCUUGCUGUUUUGACGUUACCAACAGAAUAAGCACCGGCUAACUUCGUG
rnacentral:rRNA from 1 species